GCAAACUUGGUCAUUUAGAGGAAGUAAAAGUCGUAACAAGGUUUCCGUAGGUGAACCUGCGGAAGGAUCAUCAACCAAGGGGGGGGAGUGGCCCGGAGGGGCACGACUCAUUGCGGGGGAGUGACCGCCAGGUCACGACUUUGUGGUGGGGAGUGGACCAAAGGGACACGACCUCUGACAUAAGCGUGUGAACUGUCGAGAGCGCAGUGGUUGGCGGGGGGCGGCAAGGGUCGAGCCGCGCGAGGUUCGGACCAGGAGGGGGGCGCGUGCCGUAAGAGUGCGUGCCCACCGCCAGCCACACGCGCAAUUCAGCGAAAUAGACUUUGAGCAUGUGCGACAUGACCGCCGCCUGCGGCCUGCCAGUGCACACUACACAUCAUACUACACAAAUUACACACGACACCGGUCGUGUCAUAACAAUCACAACUUUCAACAAUGGAUCUCUUGGCUCUCGCAUCGAUGAAGAACGCAGC
rnacentral:misc_RNA from 1 species